rnacentral:rRNA from 1 species
CCAUCAGCUAGUUGGUGAGGUAACGGCUCACCAAGGCGAAGACGGGUAGGGGGUGUGAGAGCAUGGCCCCCCACAAUGGGACUGAGACACGGGCCAUACUCCUACGGGAGGCAGCAGCGGGGAAUAUUGCGCAAUGGACGGAAGUCAGACGCAGCGACGCCGCGUGGGUGAGGAAGGCCUUCGGGUUGUAAAGCCCUUUUCAGGGGAGCGAGAAAGGACGGUACCCUUGGAAUAAGCGUCGGCUAACUACGUGCCAGCAGCCGCGGUAAGACGUAGGACGCAAGCGUUAUCCGGAUUUACUGGGCGUAAAGCGCCUGUAGGCGGUCAAGUAAGUCGGAUGUGAAAGCCCCGUGCUCAACGCGGGGAAGCCAUUCGAUACUGCGUGACUAGAGAACGGCAGAGGGAAACGGAAUUUCUGGUGUAGCGGUAAAAUGCGCAGAGAUCAGAAAGAACACCGAUGGCGAAGGCAGUUUCCUAGGCCGCAUCUGACGCUGAGAGGCGAAAGCUAGGGGAGCAAACAGGAUUAGAGACCCUGGUAGUCCUAGCUGUAAACGAUGGAUGCUAGGUGUGGGCCGGAAAGGUCCGUGCCGUAGUUAACGCGAUAAGCAUCCCGCCUGGGGAGUACGGCCGCAAGGCUAAAACUCAAACGAAUUGACGGGGACCCGCACAAGCAGCGGAGCGUGUGGUUUAAUUCGAUGCUACACGCAGAACCUUACCUGGGCUUGACAUGUAGGUGGUAGUGAAGUGAAAGCGGAGCGACCCUUCGGGGAGCCUACACAGGUGCUGCAUGGCUGUCGUCAGCUCGUGCCGUGAGGUGUCGGGUUAAGUCCCGUAACGAGCGCAACCCUUGUCCUUAGUUACAAGUGUCUAAGGAGACUGCCGGUGACAAACCGGAGGAAGGUGGGGAUGACGUCAAGUCAGCAUGGCCCUUAUGUCCAGGGCGACACACACGCUACAAUGGUCGGUACAAUGGGCAGCGCAGCCGCGAGGUGAAGCGAAUCCCAACAAAGCCGAUCCCAGUUCGGAUUGCAGGCUGCAACCCGCCUGCAUGAAGCCGGAGUUGCUAGUAACCGCGCGUCAGCCAUAGUCCGGUGAAUACGUUCCCGGGUCUUG